CACCUCGAUGUCGGCUCAUCACAUCCUGGGGCUGAAGUAGGUCCCAAGGGUAUGGCUGUUCGCCAUUUAAAGUGGUACGCGAGCUGGGUUUAGAACGUCGUGAGACAGUUCGGUCCCUAUCUGCCGUGGGCGCUGGAGAAUUGAGGGGGGCUGCUCCUAGUACGAGAGGACCGGAGUGGACGCAUCACUGGUGUUCGGGUUGUCAUGCCAAUGGCACUGCCCGGUAGCUAAAUGCGGAAGAGAUAAGUGCUGAAAGCAUCUAAGCACGAAACUUGCCCCGAGAUGAGUUCUCCCUGAGACUUUAAGUCUCCUGAAGGAACGUUGAGACAGUUCGGUCCCUAUCUGCCGUGGGCGCUGGAGAAUUGAGGGGGGCUGCUCCUAGUACGAGAGGACCGGAGUGGACGCAUCACUGGUGUUCGGGUUGUCAUGCCAAUGGCACUGCCCGGUAGCUAAAUGCGGAAGAGAUAAGUGCUGAAAGCAUCUAAGCACGAAACUUGCCCCGAGAUGAGUUCUCCCUGAGACUUUAAGUCUCCUGAAGGAACGUUGAAGACGACGACGUUGAUAGGCCGGGUGUGUAAGCGCAGCGAUGCGUUGAGCUAACCGGUACUAAUGAACCGUGAGGCUUAACCUUACAACGCCGAAG
rnacentral:rRNA from 1 species